rnacentral:tRNA from 1 species
GCCUCCGUAGCGCAAUCGGCUAGCGCGUUCGGCUGUUAACCGAAAGGUUGGUGGUUCAAGCCCACCCGGGGGCG